AAAUGUCCAUAGUUUCUGAUUCUUUUUGGCAAGUUUAAGUACAUCCUGAAUGUUCGAUAAAGGCUAGUGUCAUCAACAUCUCUAAUACAUAUGACAGCCAAGGAGCAUCCAUUGAAAAAUGAGGCAAUAAAAUUGAGUACUUAUAAACUGUUCAUACUUCUUUUCUACCUUUGACGUUGUAAAUGUUAAAUUUAUGAACUUAAGAAUGUCAUUGCUACAAAAAAAAACAAUGUGAUUGCUAUGCAAUAUACAUGUAAUUUGAAUAUAAAUCUUGGUCCGGUUACGCUAAACCAAAAUCUGAUAUUAUCUGGGCUACGUGUGGAUUAAAAAUCCGAUUAGGGGGAGUCGUGCAAAGCCCACUAAAAGAAACAGGCGGUUUGUUUUAUUUUAAAUAACUUUUAACUCGUUCCAAAGUCCCACAUCGCUAACAAUUUAAGAGGUGAAGACAAGACGAGUAGUAUAAAUAACGAGGCCACGGCCACGAACAAUUCAUACCUUUCUCGGCCUUUUGGCUAAGAUCAAGUGUAGUAUCUGUUCUUAUCAGUUUAAUAUCUGAUAUGUGGGCCAUCGGCCCACACGAUAUUAACUCUAUUUUUUAAGGGAGAAAACCCACUAAGGUAGCUUGCUAUCUGGGUUUUCACGAGUCGCCCAUGCGUUGCACUACUGCACGGGCCUGGCUCAUCCCGCCAAUAAACCAGUAAAAUUAUAAAUAUUGGAAAUCUGCCACUAUGUUGUAGAUUUGGGCUUAGGGACCUAAAUAAAUAACGUUAUGUAACUGGUGGAUGACCGUUGAAACCCUCAUACGCGAUGCACAUGGUUAGGAUAGAAUUC